rnacentral:rRNA from 1 species
ACCCAGACUCCUACGGGAGGCAGCAGUGGGGAAUAUUGAACGAUGGGGGAAACCCUGAUGCAGCGACGCCGCGUGAGCGAUGAAGUAUUUCGGUAUGUAAAGCUCUAUCAGCAGGGAAGAAGAUGACGGUACCUGACUAAGAAGCCCCGGCUAACUACGUGCCAGCAGCCGCGGUAAUACGUAGGGGGCAAGCGUUAUCCGGAUUUACUGGGUGUAAAGGGAGCGUAGACGGCGAUGCAAGCCAGAUGUGAAAGCCCGGGGCUCAACCCCGGGACUGCAUUUGGAACUGUGUGGCUGGAGUGUCGGAGAGGCAGGCGGAAUUCCUAGUGUAGCGGUGAAAUGCGUAGAUAUUAGGAGGAACACCAGUGGCGAAGGCGGCCUGCUGGACGAUGACUGACGUUGAGGCUCGAAAGCGUGGGGAGCAAACAGGAUUAGAUCCCCGCGUA